AAGUCGUAACAAGGUUUCCGUAGGUGAACCUGCGGAAGGAUCAUUAUCGAACUUGAAGAGAGAGGGGGGGACUUGGAGAGUGAUUACUGUCGCUGGCUAGACUAUCGACUAGCAUGUGCACGUCUUCAUUUGCCUUGUCACCCUUUCUUUUUUUUUUCACACCUGUGCACCCACUGUAGGUCCUCGAAAGAGGAUCUAUGUUAUAUCUUAUAUACGCUUAGGCUCCGUAUGUUCAUAGAAUGUAAUUGGGAAAUGGGAAAUAUACAACUUUCAGCAACGGAUCUCUUGGCUCUC
rnacentral:misc_RNA from 1 species